rnacentral:snRNA from 1 species
UGUGAGGGCGAUCUGGCUGUGACAUCGGUCACCCUACUGAUCAUCAGGGUUGAUUUGGCUGAUUUAGCUGGGUAGGGGGCUGUCCCCUUCCUCCCUCACUGCUCCAUAUGCGUCCCUCCCGAAGCGAUGUGCUCGGUCAAAGCGGACGCCCAUCCCAGAAUCAGGAGUAUAGUUCUUCAGCCAAGGGUGUGUGAUCGCUGCGCUCCCUAGCCAGCCAGUUUCUCUCGAACUUACUGGAAGGGGUGGCACCGGGCAGGAGAACUGAAGCUGUGGCAGCAGAGAAUAAUUCCAGCAGGUUUUGCCAGGCAGGCAUAUCGGGCU